ACCUGGGUGGCUCAGUUGGUUAAGCAUCUGACUUUGGCUCAGGUCAUGAUCUCACCAUUUGUGGGUUCAAGCCCCACAUCAGGCU
rnacentral:tRNA from 1 species